rnacentral:rRNA from 1 species
GACGAACCGUGCGAACGUUGUUCGGAAUCACUGGGCUUAAAGGGUGCGUAGGUGGGCUGGUAAGUCCGUGGUGAAAUCUCCAAGCUUAACUUGGAAACUGCCGUGGAUACUAUUAGUCUUGAAUCUCGUGGAGGUAAGCGGAAUAUGUCAUGUAGCGGUGAAAUGCUUAGAUAUGACAUAGAACACCGAUAGCGAAGGCAGCUUGCUACACGAGUAUUGACACUGAGGCACGAAAAGCGUGGGGGAUCAAACAGG